GGCCGUGUGGCCCAAUGGCAAGGCGCUUGACUACGAGGAGUAAAUCAAGAGAUUCCAGGUGUGUAUCCUCAAUUCUGAUGUUACAAGACAAUCUUACUAACGAUUCAUCAAAGGUUCGACCCCUGGCACGGUCA
rfam:Paraphaeosphaeria sporulosa strain AP3s5-JAC2a unplaced genomic scaffold CC84scaffold_6, whole genome shotgun sequence.